rnacentral:rRNA from 1 species
UCCAGGUUGAUCCUGCCAGAUCCGACUGCUAUCCGGGUAAGACUAAGCCAUGCAAGUCGAAUGGAAUCGCUGAUUCCAUGGCGAACUGCUCAGUAACAAGUGAUCAACUUACCCUUCAGUGGGGGAUAACCUCGGGAAACUGAGGCUAAUCCGCCAUAGUUGGCACACCCUGGAACGGGGUGCCCUCGAAAGAUAUUUCGAAAUGCCGAAUGUUCGCUGAAGGAUAGGAUCGCUUUCGAUUACGGUUGUUGGUGGGGUAAUGGCUCACCAAGCCUCUGAUCGAUAAGGGCCGUGAGAGCGGUAGCCCUGAGAUGGAUACUGAGACAAUGAUCCAGGCCUUACGAGGCGCAGCAGGCGCGAAACCUUUACAAUGCACGACAGUGUGAUAAGGUUACCCGGAGUGCUAAGAGAAAACUUUUAGCUGUUAUAGGUGUGUAAAUAACCCUAUGAGAAAGGAGAGGGCAAGGCUGGUGCCAGCCGCCGCGGUAAAACCAGCUCUUCAAGUGGUCGGGAAUAUUAUUGGGCUUAAAGCGUCCGUAGCCGGUUAGAACAGUUCCUGGUAAAAUCUGGCAGCUUAACUGUCAGGUCGCUAGGAAUACUAUCUUACUAGAGGGUGGGAAAGGUUUGGGGUACUCCAGGGGUAGCGGUGAAAUGCGAUAAUCCGUGGGGGACCACCAGUGGCGAAGGCGCCAGACUGGAA